CGACAGACCCAGCAAUGGAGCUGUGGGACGCGUCUCCGAAUAAAUUCCCUAAAACACAUGCCCCCUCGCCUCCCGCCCCAACGCCCACAGGGUGUCUGGAGUAGAAAGCUACAACUUAGUUUUCACUACUGAAACUUGGUGGGACGAAUCCAUGACUGGAGUCAUGAGAUGGCAUUGCAGGGAGGCUGGACAGCAGCAGAGGUCCUCAGUGGAGCAGAGAUCCACCUGCAGCCUGUGGAGGAGACACACACCAGAGCAGGUGAAUGCCCUAUGGCCGCUUUGGGAAGCCUGCACUGGAGCUGGCUACUGGCAGGACCUGUGGCUCUCUGAAGAGAGGAGCCCACGCUGGAGCUGAUUUGCUGGCAAGGCUUGUGACUCUGUGGGGAACCCACACUGGAGCAGCCUGUUCCUGAAGGACUGCAAUCACUGGGAGGGACCGAUACGCUGGAGCAAGGGAAGAGUGUGAGGAAGAAGGAGAAGCAGAGACAGAGUGUGAUGAACUGACCACAGCCUCCCUUCCCCUGCACUGCUCAGGGGGUAGGAGUUAAAGAAUUUGGGACGAAAGCAAAGCCCAAGAAGAAGGGAGGGGUGGAGGAAGGUGAGUUUUUCUCUUUUAGUUCUCAUUAUUGUACUCUGAUUUGAAUGUUAAUAAACUACGUUUCCCCAA